rnacentral:hammerhead_ribozyme from 1 species
AUCCAACUGACGAGUCCUAAAUAAGACGAAACGCGUGCCUCGGGU